UACGUAGGGUGCGAGCGUUGUCCGGAAUUACUGGGCGUAAAGAGCUCGUAGGUGGCCUGUCGCGUCGGCUGUGAAAACUCGGGGCUCAACUCCGAGCUUGCAGUCGAUACGGGCAGGCUAGAGUUCGGCAGGGGAGACUGGAAUUCCUGGUGUAGCGGUGAAAUGCGCAGAUAUCAGGAGGAACACCGGUGGCGAAGGCGGGUCUCUGGGCAUUACCUGACGCUGAGGAGCGAAAGUGUGGGGAGCGAACAGG
rnacentral:rRNA from 1 species